rnacentral:rRNA from 1 species
AUAUCAAUAAGCGGAGGAAAAGAAACCAACAGGGAUUGCCCCAGUAACGGCGAGUGAAGCGGCAACAGCUCAAAUUUGAAAUCUGGCCUUGUGCCCGAGUUGUAAUUUGUAGAGGAUGCUUUGGGUGAGGCCCCUGCCGAGUUCCCUGGAACGGGACGCCAUAGAGGGUGAGAGCCCCGUAUGGCAGGGCGCCAAACCUGUGUAAAGCUCCCUCGACGAGUCGAGUAGUUUGGGAAUGCUGCUCAAAAUGGGAGGUAAAUUCCUUCUAAAGCUAAAUACCGGCCAGAGACCGAUAGCGCACAAGUA